rnacentral:rRNA from 1 species
GGGCUUGACAUCCCACGAACCUGCCUGAAAGGGCGGGGUGCCCGCAAGGGAGCGUGGAGACAGGUGGUGCAUGGCUGUCGUCAGCUCGUGUCGUGAGAUGUUGGGUUAAGUCCCGCAACGAGCGCAACCCUCACCCCUAGUUGCCACCGGGUAAUGCCGAGCACUCGAGGGGAACUGCCAGCGUCAAGCUGGAGGAAGGCGGGGAUGACGUCAAGUCAUCAUGCCCCUUACGCCCUGGGCUACACACGUGCUACAAUGGCCAGUACAAAGGGAUGCGAGACCGCAAGGUGGAGCUAAUCUCAAAAAGCUGGUCUAAGUUCAGAUUGCAGUCUGCAACUCGACUGCAUGAAGGAGGAAUCGCUAGUAAUCGCGCAUCAGCACGGCGCGGUGAAUACGUUCCCGGGCCUUGUACACACCGCCCGUCACACCACGAAAGCUGGCUGUACUCGAAGUCGCUGAG